AGUUGCUGUUCAGUUAUCAUCAUGGCUCAAUGCUGAAAGAGCCCAAUUAAAUGGUGUUGUUUUAGAAGCACCUUUUAAUAAUAUAACAGAUGCUAUUAUCCAAACACCUUUGGCUUUGCCUCUUUAUCAGUUUCUUCCUAACUUUGAGAGUUAUUUGGAUGAUGUUAAAAAUGUAUUUUUAAGUACAUUUUGGAUUCAAAAAGUGACAUCACCAACACUGAUUCUACAUGAUGUCAGUGACAGCAUUAUUAACAUCAACCUUGCA
rnacentral:lncRNA from 1 species